rnacentral:rRNA from 1 species
CCUACGGGUGGCAGCAGUGGGGGAUAUUGCACAAUGGGGGGAACUCUGAUGCAGCGACGCCGCGUGGGUGAAGAAGCGCCUCGGCGCGUAAAGCUCUGUCAGCAGGGAAGAAAAUGACGGUACCUGAAGAAGCAGCACCGGCUAACUACGUGCCAGCAGCCGCGGUAAUACGUAGGGGGCAAGCGUUAUCCGGAUUUACUGGGUGUAAAGGGGGCGCAGACGGCGAGGCAAGCCAGGAGUGAAAGACCGGGGCCCAACCCCGGGACUGCUUUUGGAACUGCGUGGCUGGAGUGCAGGAGGGGCAGGCGGAAUGCCUGGUGUAGCGGUGAAAUGCGUAGAGAUCAGAAGGAACACCGGUGGCGAAGGCGGCCUACUAAACUGCCACUGACAUUGAUGCUCGAAAGUGUGGGUAGCAAACAGGAUUAGAUACCCGAGUAGUC